CUGAGUUAGGGUUCUUUAUGAGCCCGAUCUCCAACCCUUUGUUAAAAUUACUUUGUUGCUUUGGCAGGCCCGUCUUUCGGGACCGCCGGAGGGGUUAGAUCACCUCUGGUCAGUGUUUGCCAGUAGCCGAUUUAAACUCUUUUUAACCAUGUCGUCUGAAUCUUGAUUAAAAUUUAAUUA
rnacentral:misc_RNA from 1 species